rnacentral:lncRNA from 10 species
CAGGAAACACACUACACAGGCUCCCUUCUUAAGUGCUGGUGGGCCACUGCACAUGCAGACAGCCCACUUUAAGGGAAGAAUCAGGGGAGAAGAGAUGCAGACCCCAGAAUUAUGCCAACAUACAAAAGCCUAAGUCAAAGGUCAAACCACACACUUGAAAUCUCAUCACCUGUUUGGCCCUGUUUUAAGUGUGCUUUACUUUCUUUAAUUUCUGCUCUAAAGCUUUUAAAUAAACUUUCACUCCUGCUCUAAAAUUUGCCUAAGUCUCUUCUUCUGCCUUAUGACACUUAGUUGAAUUCUUUCUUCUGAAGAAGCAAGAAUUGAGGCUGCUACAGACUUGUACAGAUUUGCUGCCAUUAAUAUAGUUUAGUGCCAUUCUACAUGAUAGAAUAUAUAUAUAUUCUUAUAUUUAUACAUAUAUAUAAAAUAUAUGUAUUCAUAGAGGCCUUGAAUCUACAUUCUUGCUGCACUU